UUUUUUUUUUUUUUUUUUUUUUUUUUUGUCUUUUUUAGGGCUGCACUCAUGGCAUAUGGAAGUUUCCAAGUUAGGGGCAAAUCGGAGCUAUAGCCACCAGCCUACACCACAGCCACGGCAACGCCAGAUUGGAGCUGUGUCUGCGACCUACACCACAGCUCAUGGCAGCACUGGAUCCUUGAACCCACUGAGCCAGGCCAGGGAUCAAACUCACGUCCUCAUGGAUAUUAGUUGGGUUUGUUACUGCUGGGUCAUGAUAAGAACUCCCUUACAGUUGAGUCUUGAAGAAGAUCCUUUUUUUGGCUGAUGGCCACUUUUCCCAAGCCUAGAAACCAUUGUCAGGCUCAAAUAGAAGCUUUUAAGUCCAUAAGAACCAUGGCUGUGCCUCUUCAGAUGUGCCUAUCAGGCCAAUGAACAUCUGAAUCUUGCAAUGGCUUCAGGGUAGACAGCAGACCCCUAACCAGACCAUUUUCCUUUCACACUACACCUGGUGAUUUUUUUUUUCCUUUUCUGCUGUGUUGGCUUGUGAAGACAAAAUCAAGACAAUAUAGCUAAAUGGUUAGUAUAAGAAAGAUCUCAAUAAUAUUUUUUUUCCUAGCAGGCAUUUUCCACUUCUUUCUUAACUAUUUCCUAAUUCCAACAUUGUACAUCUAUCCCCAUGGACAAUUUUACCUCCAUUUCAUAAAGCAUUGAUAAGCCAAGUCCUGGAAAAAAAAUAGUUUUGUAGCCUCGGGUAAGUUAGGAAAAUAGGAUCAAAGUUCAAGGAUUGAUAUCAUCAUGAUUUGGCUCUGUUCGAAUUCAUUUGUUUCCUAAGUGGAAGAAAUAACUGAUAGGCUUGGUUAAUGAUCUAAUGUACCCAAAGUAUUUGCCCAAGCCUCACACUAAUGAAAGUGCAACACACCUUUUGGAUUCUACCCACAGAACCUUUCAACCUAAGACACCACCUGGAGUUUCCAAAUCAAAGUCUGGCCCUCUGAUGAGCUGACUGAGGAAAGCAGCUCAAGUUCACUGGCAAUAACCAGCUCACCUGUAUGAAGAGAAGGUGAUUUUUCAGGGCACCAUUUUAUUCACAGGUUACAUUUGCUUUAACACAGAGUCUGUAUUCUAUUUUUCCUUGGUGAGAGUUCAGUUAUGGGUCAAAAACAUCUAACAGGAAAAAGUAUUCAUGUCUGAGCACAGGAUUUAGACAGAAACUGCGAAUAAGAAAGAAGAGUCAGAACCCACGAAACCAGGUUUAAAGUUCUCAAGAAAAAUGUAGGUAACUAUUUAAAGUGUUAGUGAUAUUACUUAAAACUCCUCUAUCCCAUUCAAAGCACUUCAUAUGACUUUGCAUUUAGAGAAUUCCAAACAUUUUCCUUAGUCAGUGUACUAAGAAGUGCUCCCAAAUGAGAUUGUUUUGGAAAUUUCUAGAAUUCUAGAAAUUAUUUCUGUAGGGUGUAAAAUUAUAAAUAUUUUCAAAGAGAAAAUAAAUCUUUUAUGAGAGACAUUGUUUUGGGCUGUAUUGACUCUCACCACUUUGGCCUUAAGAAAUUCUGCCUUCUUUAUUUAAACAUGCUGUCUGAAUAGAGGACAUUGCUAAAAACAAACAAAAAAAGGAAGGAAGAGAACUGCUUUUCCAAGGCACAGUUUCAGCCCUUUAAAACUUAACACGCAAUAAAAAUACUCCCUUUAUUACCAUUACCCACUUCAGCAGCAAUUCAAAGUUCACAGCAAUUCAGAGAAAAGGCCACAUUUCUUAAAGCAGAAUCAAAGGCACUUGAGACUUUCUGAGAUGACAGGCCACAGACAUAAAUAAAAGCACUCAAUAAAAAUAUUUCCCAUUCCAUUGUGUAUUAGAAUUUUAUAAAUACCUGUGUAAAGACUUAGCCGCUCUCUCAACAGACACUCAGUAAAAUUUUAGAUGAUUUUUCCCAAUUGGUGGGCAUUUACUGCUGACCUCUGGAUCUGCAUUUCUGUACCACAUUUUUUUUUUUUUUAAAUGAAUAACUUGUGUGGAUUACAGUCAAGCUCUCUGAAGAAUUCUAAAGAGUUCAGUUCUCCUGGCUAAUUAACUGCCAGCACACUUACUGAAAUGAGUAAUGUGUGUGAAAGAAUCCACACAGAUGUGGUAAAAAGCUGGAAAGUAUGCACUGGACUGAGAAUUGGGCUCUGAACAUUAACUCCAUUUUCUCAACUUUGCAAAACAGGGAAGCAGGGAUGGCUAAUUGGAUGGGUUUUGAAGUAUCUCACUGGUUCCCAAGAUAUCUGUGGACCAGAGGAAUCAAAAGACCCAUAAAACUCAGAAAUGACAAAAUCAGAUUGUAUAAGGGCAUGUAAAAAAAGUUGUUUUUUUUUCUUUUUAGGCCUGCACCUAUGGCAUAUGCAAGUUCCCAGGUUAGUGGCUGAAUCAGAACUAUAGCUGCCAGCCUACACCACAGCCACAACCACUAGGGAUCCAAGCCAUGUCUGCAACCUACACCACAGCUCACUGCAAUGUCAGAUCCUUUACCCACUGAGAGAGGCCAGGAAUCAAACAACAUCUUCAUGGAUACUAAUCGGGUUCAUUACCGCUGAGCCACAAUGGGAACUCCAAGGCGUGUGAAUUUAAAUUCAAAAAAUUUAAUUCACACUUUAAUUGUACUAGGAAUAUUAUUACUUUAAAAAGCUUGCUUAAGGCAUUCCCUCGUAGUCUAGUGGUUAAGGACUUGGUGCUUUCAAUGCUUUAUCUGGAGCUUGAUCCCUGGUCUAGGAACUAAGAUCUCACAUCAAGUUGCUGCACACCAUGGCCACACACACACAAGCUUUCUUAGAAAAGUAUCUUUUGUAAUUGAUUAAUUAAUAUAACUUUCCAAUCUAACUUUCUUUCUAGUGCAUUUAAUUUUUUAAAAUUUAUAUAAAGUAGUACAAUGAAGUCAUUACAGGGAAAGAAGGUGAGGUUUAAAUUUAAAAAAAAAAAAAGAAUCCCUAUAGGAAUUAUAAUUUAUGAAAUAAAGUAACAUCUCUGCCUGGCAGGACCCGGGCCUCAGUGAGCAAGGCCCCAGCCUAUGUCACAGGUUUUCCAUGUACAUAAAAGGACCUGGAUAUAUAUUUGAUGAUGGACAGAUUUUAGGGUGACUAGAAAGGUUCCCUUUCCCUCAGCAUCACCCGCUUAUCAUAUCUGAGAAUGCUGUUAAGAAACUACUUAAAGAAAGUGUCAUUUUUGGAGUUCUUGUUGUGGUUCAAUAGGUUAAGAACACAACUAGUAGCAAUGAAGAUGCAGGUUCAAUCCCUGGCCUCGUUCAGUGGGUUAAAGGAUCCACUGUUGCCUCAAGCUGCUGUGUGUUGCAAAUGUGGCUUGGAUCUUGAGUUUUUGUGGCUGUGGUAUAGGCCGAAGCUCCAGUUCGACUCCUUACCUGCAAGCUUCCAUAUGCUGCAGGUGCAGCCCUAAAAUUACAAAAAAAGAAAAAGAAAAAAAGAAAAAGAAAAAGAAAGAAAAAAAAAAAAAGAAAGAAGAAAAAGAAAGAAAACGUCAUGCUGAUUUUCAAUUAGAAUGGAAGUAGUUUGGGUAACAGACCACAUCACUUUAAAUGCAGGCUAAGGGAUCAAUAAUGGAGCUUAGACCAUAGCUGGGCUCAGAAACCACACAGCCUAGGGCUGUCCAUGAAGGCGGGCAAAACAAAGGGGUGGAAAGAGCCAUGUGCAGACACCCUUGCAACAUUGCUGAGCACUAUAUCAACAUCUUUGUGCCUCUCCCGGGACAAAGAGGUGCUCCACCUCCUAAAAACUUCUGCACUCCGUCUUGGUAGUGACCUACUCUGCUGGCCAAAAGUGUGCCACAUCGCUUGAGGGACCCAACGCUGGUGAUGUGUGACUGUGGGAAAGCUGUUUAACCUCUUGGUGCCUCAGUUUCCUCUUUUGUAAAAUGGAGACCUUCAAGUGGUUCUUGUGAAAAUUCAAUGAUGGGAAUGUUAACGUACACAGUAGCCACUCAGCACGUGUUAUGAGCAGGGAGUCACAGGGCUGUAGGCUGACAUGUUCCAAGCUGCACUCAGUGCAGACCAGACUUCAUGGGAUUGCAAAGAGGCAUCAAAAUCCCAGAGUUCUACAAGCAAAAAGAAAACUUCAAAAUCAUCUUACUGUGCUGAGGGUUGUUGCCCAGAGUCUAGCACACAUUUUGUUUAAUAUACAUAUAAAAGUAAGCCACUAAGACUGAGAAACUGCUCAGAAAAACUUGAAUUUUCAAGCUUUUUUGAAACAUAUGGCCACCUGUACCCAUUAGUGUAUAUACUGAGUUAUCUUAAUUUGCAGUAGCAGGGUUAUGACUGCUGCCUUUAGACCAAAUUGAGGCUCUCCAGGCAGUUUGCCAAAGUUUCCACCACUCCCUACUGCCCUUGACAUUUACCCAGUUGUGGGUUGCUAUUGCAUGUUUUUAUGUUUUUCAUUUUUCUUUCAGCCACACCCACUGCAUGCAGAAAUUCCUGGGCUAGGGAUGGAACCUGCACCACAGCAGUGACCUAAGCCACAGCUGUGACAGUGCCAGAUCCUUAACCUAUUGUGCCACCCCCUUCUCCAUAAUUUUUAAAAGCAAGGCUUUUGCCUCUUAGUAAGAGACAGACAUAAAAAAACCAAACAGGAGUUCCCGUUGUGGAGCAGUGGUUAACGAAUCCGACUAGGAACCAUGAGGUUGCGGGUUCGGUCCCUGGCCUUCCUCAGUGGGUUAAGGAUCUGGCGCUGCCAUGAGCUGUGGUGUAGGUUACAGAUGUGGCUCGGAUCCCAUGUUGCUGUGGCUCUGGUGUAGGCUGGCGGCUACAGCUCCGAUUAGACCCCUAGCCUGAGAAACUCCAUAUGCCACGGGAGCGGCCCAAGAAAUGGCAAAAAGACAAAAAAAAAAAACAAAAACAAACAAACAAAAAAAAAAAACCCAAAAAACAAAAAAAACAAGCAAACACAUCUCUCUGUACCUAUUUCCUUAACAAAAGUGGAACAAUAAAAUGUAAACCCUCAGAGAUCAUGUGACUAUUAUCAUACCUGGCCCACCUUAACCACUGUCAUUUUUGGCAACUGUAUUUGUGUUGUGAUCCCUGAUCUAGUCUAAAACUUCUUUCACAAAAAUGAAAAAUGAGGGACCCAGAGAGAUUAACUGAGUGUCUGAGAUCAAGUCUUGUUAAUGGCAGAAGCCAUGCCCACCUGCAGGUCUUUUUUUCCCCCUCAUUAGUGCUUCCACUUCUUGGUCCACUUUUUUCUUCCUAAAUAAAUGAGCUAAUGUGGGUUCAAUCCAUGUUCCAUGUGAAAAAGCAGAAACCAGGGGAACUCCACCAACUACAACAAAGCAGCACAGAAGGUAGUUGUAACACAAAAGGACUGGAAAAGAACAUGUACUGCUUUACCAUUCUGUGCAUCUCAGUCAGGUUGCCUGCAAUGAAAUAUUUUGAUGGAUGAAGCUGAAGGAGUGAGGUCCUCUCAACUAGCUGCUCCGUUUCAUUGAUGCUUCAUUGCCCCAUUCAUAUUGAAUCACUAAUAUUUUUUCUAACGUGUUUCCUAACUACUUAACUAAAUGAAACAGUGACCUAAGUGACAAGAAUCUAUCAUACGACACAGAAGAAACCCCCAAAUGUCUAGAAAGAAGGAGCUGGAGAAAGAAACAGGGCAGAAGGGAAACAGAAGAUGUUUCUCCUUAUUCAGCCCCCUCCACAGACAAUCUUUUGCGGUCUCUUAUUUCCUCUUAAUGAAAUGAGUCUGUCGUAGGCAGUAGGUAUGUCACUUUCCCUCAGGAUAAUGAUAUUUCUCUUACUCAUGGGCUUGUCUCUUCCACAGAAGAAAUGGCAGGCACAAACGUUAUAUGGCUUAUUAAUUGACUUCAGUUUCCUUUCCCUUAUUUUUUGUAUUUUGACACAAGGACUCUGUGAGCUGGGUAGUUUAGACUAUGUCUGCUCCCUACCUUGCCAUCAGAUGAUCCCACUGAUAACUGUUUAGUUUUAUUCUAUGUAUUUCACUUAGAAAAGUCUAUGAUUUAUUUCUAGUUCUACCACCUGGCAUUUGCCAGAGUUGAAUCAGGCUUCUUGGAGACUUACCCUUAAAACACAUGGGAUCACAUCUACUUUGGAGGCUGCUGGAAUGAACAAAUGAGAUAGAUUUGUGUAAGCACUUUGGAGACUAUAAAGCACCCAAUGUAUGUGUCCUGACAUCCAGAUGUUGUAUUAAAUACUAGGGUUUUUGAGAUGUUUGAGAGAAGCCAGCUCUGGGACACAAGGUUCUUCUUCUUUUUUUUUUUUUUUACUGUUUAGGGCCACACCUAUGGUAUAUGGAAUUUCCCAGGCUAGGGAUGGAAUCAGAGCUUCAGUUUCCAGCCCACAGCCACAGCCACAGCAAUGCAGGAUCUGAGCUGCAUCUGUAACCUAUGCCGCAGCUCAUGGCAACAUUGGGUCCUUAACCCACUAAGCAAGGCCAGGGAUUGAACCUACAUCACAGUCGCAUUCCUUACUGCUGAGCCACCACAGAAACUCCUGGGACACAUGACUCUUGAGUCCAUUUAGAGAGACUACAGAGACUGAAAACAAAUCCUAGGCAGGAGGAAGGGUCUCCAGGGAGAUCAAUGCAGCAGGUUUGGUGCCAAAUUCCUU
rnacentral:lncRNA from 1 species